CUGGCGGGCGUGCUAUACAUGCAAGUCGAACGAACUCUGGUAUUGAUUGGUGCUUGCAUCAUGAUUUACAUUUGAGUGAGUGGCGAACUGGUGAGUAACACGUGGGAAACCUGCCCAGAAGCGGGGGAUAACACCUGGAAACAGAUGCUAAUACCGCAUAACAACUUGGACCGCAUGGUCCGAGUUUGAAAGAUGGCUUCGGCUAUCACUUUUGGAUGGUCCCGCGGCGUAUUAGCUAGAUGGUGGGGUAACGGCUCACCAUGGCAAUGAUACGUAGCCGACCUGAGAGGGUAAUCGGCCACAUUGGGACUGAGACACGGCCCAAACUCCUACGGGAGGCAGCAGUAGGGAAUCUUCCACAAUGGACGAAAGUCUGAUGGAGCAACGCCGCGUGAGUGAAGAAGGGUUUCGGCUCGUAAAACUCUGUUGUUAAAGAAGAACAUAUCUGAGAGUAACUGUUCAGGUAUUGACGGUAUUUAACCAGAAAGCCACGGCUAACUACGUGCCAGCAGCCGCGGUAAUACGUAGGUGGCAAGCGUUGUCCGGAUUUAUUGGGCGUAAAGCGAGCGCAGGCGGUUUUUUAAGUCUGAUGUGAAAGCCUUCGGCUCAACCGAAGAAGUGCAUCGGAAACUGGGAAACUUGAGUGCAGAAGAGGACAGUGGAACUCCAUGUGUAGCGGUGAAAUGCGUAGAUAUAUGGAAGAACACCAGUGGCGAAGGCGGCUGUCUGGUCUGUAACUGACGCUGAGGCUCGAAAGUAUGGGUAGCAAACAGGAUUAGAUACCCUGGUAGUCCAUACCGUAAACGAUGAAUGCUAAGUGUUGGAGGGUUUCCGCCCUUCAGUGCUGCAGCUAACGCAUUAAGCAUUCCGCCUGGGGAGUACGGCCGCAAGGCUGAAACUCAAAGGAAUUGACGGGGGCCCGCACAAGCGGUGGAGCAUGUGGUUUAAUUCGAAGCUACGCGAAGAACCUUACCAGGUCUUGACAUACUAUGCAAAUCUAAGAGAUUAGACGUUCCCUUCGGGGACAUGGAUACAGGUGGUGCAUGGUUGUCGUCAGCUCGUGUCGUGAGAUGUUGGGUUAAGUCCCGCAACGAGCGCAACCCUUAUUAUCAGUUGCCAGCAUUAAGUUGGGCACUCUGGUGAGACUGCCGGUGACAAACCGGAGGAAGGUGGGGAUGACGUCAAAUCAUCAUGCCCCUUAUGACCUGGGCUACACACGUGCUACAAUGGAUGGUACAACGAGUUGCGAACUCGCGAGAGUAAGCUAAUCUCUUAAAGCCAUUCUCAGUUCGGAUUGUAGGCUGCAACUCGCCUACAUGAAGUCGGAAUCGCUAGUAAUCGCGGAUCAGCAUGCCGCGGUGAAUACGUUCCCGGGCCUUGUACACACCGCCCGUCACACCAUGAGAGUUUGUAACACCCAAAGUCGGUGGGGUAACCUUUUAGGAACCAGCCGCCUAAGGUGGAACAAGAUAGGUGU
rnacentral:rRNA from 1 species